rnacentral:misc_RNA from 1 species
AAGUCGUAACAAGGUUUCCGUAGGUGAACCUGCGGAAGGAUCAUUAACGAAUAACUAUGGUGUCUUGGCUGUCGCUGGCUCCUCGGAGCAUCGUGCACGCCCGCCAUUUUUAUCUAUCCACCUGUGCACCGAAUGUAGGUCUGGAUGACUAUCGUCUCUGGGCGGAUGCGAGGUUUGCGUGUGCGUUGCGUACGGGCUCACCUCGAAUUUCCAGACUCUACGUCUUUUUACACACCCCAAACGUAUGAUGCAGAAUGUAGUCAAUGGGCCUUUAAAAGCCUAUAAAACACUAUACAACUUUCAGCAACGGAUCUCUUGGCUCUC